AAUCGUGUUGAUAACAUGUUGUAAAACAAGAGAAUAGAAUCUAUGUUUCUAUAUUAUUCAUAAACAUAAGGAGCCCUUUAUAUAUAGAGAAUUAUACCGUCAUAGAAUAAUGGAAACACUAAAGAAAGGAAAUACAAAUAUGGAAAGAGUACAAAUCAUAAUCUAAUAAGGAAAAUGCAAGAUGCCGACUCUCUCUUUCUCUCCUCACGGUCAACUCUCUCUCUCUAGCAUUGGGCCGGUUAUGAAUCGGGCCGGU
rnacentral:lncRNA from 1 species